rnacentral:rRNA from 1 species
GACGAACGCUGGCGGCGUGCCUAACACAUGCAAGUCGAACGGAGAUAUACGCUGAUGAUUUAGCUUGCUAUUGAUUCUUGUGUAUCUUAGUGGCGGACGGGUGAGUAACGCGUGAGCAACCUGCCUUUCAGAGGGGGAUAACGUUUGGAAACGAACGCUAAUACCGCAUGAUAUUAUUGGACCGCAUGGUCUGAUAAUCAAAGGAGCAAUCCGCUGAAAGAUGGGCUCGCGUCCGAUUAGGUAGUUGGCGGGGUAACGGCCCACCAAGCCGACGAUCGGUAGCCGGACUGAGAGGUUGAACGGCCACAUUGGGACUGAGACACGGCCCAG